GAAGCCUGGAAGAGCCCCUGAAAAGAAGAAGAAGGUGCGUAGGACCUCCACUCGGUGGCCGCUCAAGGCCGCGGUGGCCGUCAGCCUCCGGACGCUUCCGUGCACGUCGCCCUGGCGAUGCAGCAUGACCAUGUAGCGACCGGGAACGCGCCACGCCGCCUUAGAGGAGAAACUCCACAGCGGAUUCGGUUCUGGUCUCGUUCAUCUCGAUCAGAGGAGCCGGUCUUUGGUUCUUCUCCCACAUCCCGGGAACUAGUACUACCUAACACACAGACGCGUCACUAUCAACAAUAACACACACUUCCUGCUGCUACCGAACCAACCUUGGGGUAACACUGGCACAUGCUCCGCGCGGUCCCGACCGGAACCA